ACAUAGCAGGAAUAAUACUGCCUUUUCUUUCUGGCAUGGAUCAAGAGAAAAGAAAAUACAAGAAAACAGACAGAAGCAAGGCAAGCUACAUCUAUAGAAGGGUGAGCCCUCACAGAUGGAGCAAUGGUGAGUGCACACCUGAACAAGGGAGGGGAAGGAGUUCUUAUCCCUGACGCAUGUGGCCCCUGCUGCUGUGUCGUUCUCCUAUUGGCUAAGGUUAGACCACACAGGCUAAACUAAUUCUGAUUGGCUAAUUUAAAGAGAGCGACGGGGGCUUCUGAUAGCUUUGGAGAUUGUGACAUUGGAAUACAGAAAAAACGUACAGGACUCAUGAAGAGCUGAAAUGUUCACAAAUAUCAAGCAAAAGUCAAUGACAUUUAUUUUGAGCUAUUUACAGCGUUUCAUAAUUGAGCAAGGUAUACUCCUAUGAACAAAAUUUGGAGCAUGUUUGUCUCUCUCUCUCUGCCUGGCAUCUUCAGAAUUUGGAAACUAGUUAUGGUUUAUAAUCAGCUAUAGAAUUUUGACACAUGCUCUCAAAUGCAGGUUUCUGUUAACUUUGGAGAUUGUGACAUUGGAAUAAAGGAAGAGCUGAAAUGUUCACGAAUAUCAAGCAAAAGUCAAGGAAAUUUAUUUUGAGCUAUUUACAGCAUUUAAUAAUUGAGCAAGGUAUAUUCCUAUGAACAAAAUUUGGAGCAUGUUUGUCUCUGUCUGUCUGCCUGGCGUCUACAGAAUUUGGAAACUAGUUGUGCUGUACUGCAUGAGAAUAUCUGCAUUUAGUAUGCGAACUGGAAUUGGCAAAGGACGAUGGCUGCUCUCCUGCUAACUUUAAAUAAGUCAUGUCACAAACUGCAUUCUUUCUCAGAUUUCCUAAACUUUCCAGAGAAAAUGGUCUUCUCCCUGGCUCAGCAAGAAGAUGAACUUUAAACACUGAGAAAGUCAUCAUCUCCCUGGCUCAACCAGAAGAUGAACUUUAAACACUAUUCUCAAUGACUCGAUGUUCCCAUCACUACUACUAUCAUAAAGGGAGGGGACCCAGAUACUGAGAAUUUUAUCAUAGUGUGAACUGUCUGGUAUGUCAUUUAAGUAAGCCCAUUGCUGAAAUAUUUUCCAUGUUAUUAGAAAGAGCUGAAGAGAGGGGUUGCAAUGGCUUCUUUAUUUUUUGUCUUUUGGGGAUUAAAGGAACCUGGUUCAACAAGGGCCUACACCUAAGUCUCUUGUUGUACCAGAGUACAAUUUAGGACUGCUCCUGAGAAGGAAUUAGCUAGAAAUCUAGAGAGUAAGGGUAACAGAUUUACAAUAGAAUAACAGCCUCAGUAUUUUUGGUUCCUCUCCAGUAACGAUCACAAAGAAUAUUGCUAAAUCGCUAAAACACCUUUGCAAUAACGUAAGUGCUUACAGCUAUAUACCAAUGUAGCUCAGUUACUAAACUGGAGUAAAAUAAUUUCUCUUGUGUAGAAAAAUUGGUUGGCUGUGGUUUUAUAGCAGAUUUGCAACUAUUAAUAGUUAUGCCAAUAAUCGUUUAACAGUGCAUAUGUUAAUAUAUAUGGAAAGACAAUGUGUAUAGACAGAUGUGUAAAAUUGAAAAAUAAACAUAUAACGAGAGAGAAACAUCUAUCGAACAGACAAUAUACAUACACGUCAAACACAACAGCAGUUUUAGUGACCAUAAUAUUUAUUUCUCAUUUUUACGUUGGUUACAUUAGUGACAACUGAAAAUGACAGUUGGCAAUGCAGCUAACAGUUUCAAUAAAAGUAUAAAACAAAA
rnacentral:lncRNA from 1 species